rnacentral:rRNA from 1 species
UCUAAGUUUGAUGGCGACCGGCGCACGGGUGAGUAACACGUAUCCAACCUGCCGAUGACUCGGGGAUAGCCUUUCGAAGGAAAGAUUAAUACCCGAUGGCAUAGUUCUUCCGCAUGGUGGAACUAUUAAAGAAUUUCGGUCAUCGAUGGGGAUGCGUUCCAUUAGGUUGUUGGCGGGGUAACGGCCCACCAAGCCUUCGAUGGAUAGGGGUUCUGAGAGGAAGGUCCCCCCACAUUGGAACUGAGACACGGUCCAAACUCCUACGGGAGGCAGCAUG